CCAUGCUAGUCGCACGGGUUCAGACCCGUGGCGAACAGCUCAGUAACACGUGGCCAAACUACCCUACGGACCGGGACAACCUCGGGAAACUGAGGCUAAUUCCGGAUACCGCUCCCAGGCUGGAAUGCCGGGAGCGCGAAACGCUCCGGCGCCGUAGGAUGUGGCUGCGGCCGAUUAGGUAGACGGUGGGGUAACGGCCCACCGUGCCCAUAAUCGGUACGGGAUGUGAGAGCAAAUAGCCCGGAGAUGGAAUCUGAGACAAGAUUCCAGGCCCUACGGGGCGCAGCAGGCGCGAAACCUUUACACUGCACGCCAGUGCGAUAAGGGGACUCCGAGUGCGAGGGCAUAGAGUCCUCGCUUUAGUACACCGUAAAGUGGUGUACCAACAAGGGCUGGGCAAGACCGGUGCCAGCCGCCGCGGUAAUACCGGCAGCCCGAAUGAUGGCCAA
rnacentral:rRNA from 1 species